rnacentral:rRNA from 1 species
GUGAGGAAUAUUGGACAAUGGGCGCAAGCCUGAUCCAGCCAUGCCGCGUGCAGGAAGACGCAUCUAUGGUGUGUAAACUGCUUUUGUACGGGAAGAAACACUCCCUCGUGAGGGAGCUUGACGGUACCGUAAGAAUAAGGAUCGGCUAACUCCGUGCCAGCAGCCGCGGUAAUACGGAGGAUCCAAGCGUUAUCCGGAAUCAUUGGGUUUAAAGGGUCCGUAGGCGGUUUAAUAAGUCAGUGGUGAAAGCCCAUCUCUCAACGAUGGAACGGCCAUUGAUACUGUUAGACUUGAAUUACAAGGAAGUAACUAGAAUAUGUAGUGUAGCGGUGAAAUGCUUAGAUAUUACAUGGAAUACCAAUUGCGAAGGCAGGUUACUACUUGUGGAUUGACGCUGAUGGACGAAAGCGUGGGGAGCGAACAGGAUUAGAUACCCUAGUAGUCC